CUACCCUUGACAUGCCACUAACGAAGCAGAGAUGCAUCAGGUGCCCGAAAGGGAAAGUGGACACAGGUGCUGCAUGGCUGUCGUCAGCUAGUGUCGUGAGAUGUUGGGUUAAGUCCCGCAACGAGCGCAACCCUUGUCUCUAGUUGCUACGAAAGGGCACUCUAGAGAGACUGCCGGUGACAAACCGGAGGAAGGUGGGGAUGACGUCAAGUCCUCAUGGCCCUUAUGGGUAGGGCUUCACACGUCAUACAAUGGUGCGUACAGAGGGUUGCCAACCCGCGAGGGGGAGCUAAUCCCAGAAAACGCAUCGUAGUCCGGAUCGUAGUCUGCAACUCGACUACGUGAAGCUGGAAUCGCUAGUAAUCGCGGAUCAGCAUGCCGCGGUGUAUACGUUCCC
rnacentral:rRNA from 1 species